AUUGAGCCAACAGAUGGGAACCCAACAGGUGCCUAAGGAUUGACAAAGAAAAUAGUAACCCAAACUUGCAAAAUACACUUUUAUAGAGAUCUAGUCCUAAUAAGACUCCAGUUCAAGGCCAAUUAUUAUUUCUUCAAAUGCGCUCAUACAAGCUGCAACAAGGAAUUCUCGAAUGUUUAAAGCAAUGGAUCCAAAGAACUAGCUGGCCUGGACUCUAGAUCACAGACCGUUUAGUCUUUGCAAUUAAUUAGGAUGGCUAAAUUAUAUCUGAGUUUCAUUUUAUGGAUAUUUGCUACGAGAAUUAUGAACUUUAUGAAUCUACAUAUUAUACGUAUGGUUUUGAAUAUUGUAAUUGAAUGCAUGUAUUUUUUUACGGUUGCAAUAUGCUACAACCCACUUUCGGUUGCCACAUGUUAGCACCACCAAAAAAAAGUGUUGCGUCAUAUCUCAGUCGAUAUGCCUACUAUUUUGUUGCACUAGGAUGUUGUAACGGAUCACUUCAUAUUGUCUGGCACCACAAAUUUUUUCAUGACGCGAUAACUGUUCGGCGCCACCAAAGUAAUUUUUGUUGAAAUAGAGUAUCACCAUGGAAAUUUUAAAUUGUCGCAAUAGUUUCUCGCUACAAACAUUUCAACUGUUGUGAUA